rnacentral:siRNA from 1 species
UUGUGAAUGGUUUUGGAACCUC